AGUUGCAAAAAAAACUGUUUUGAAAACAGAAAAAGGACCGCCUGCAACUU
rnacentral:tRNA from 1 species